ensembl:scaRNA LOC120102093 small Cajal body-specific RNA 21
UGGCUUGGUUUCCUGGGGAGUGGGCUCAGUGUACUCCACCCCUUCUCAGCUAAGCCUAGAGUAUAGGGGCCAGGUAUGCACUGUUGUGGGAGAGGUGCUUCAGCAGGAGCCUUGCCUGGGCUGUCCUAGCCUCACAAUU